rnacentral:rRNA from 1 species
GGCGGCGUGUUAACACAUCAAGUCAACGAAGAGCGAUGAAGCUUGUUCUUCAUUUUUAGUGGCGAACGGGUGAGUAAGGGUAAUCAACUCCCUUCAGAGGGGGCCACCAUUGGAAACGACUGUAAUACGGCUUACGUUCUGCCUCGGCAUCGAGGAUAGAUGAAAAGUUGGCUUCUAUUUUAAGCUAUCACUGAAAGGAGGGGAUUGCGUCUGAUUAGCUAGUGGGAGGGGGUAACGGCCCACCAGGGCGAUGAUCAGUAGCCCGGUCUGAGAGGGAUGAACGGCCCACAUUGGGACUGAGACACGGCCCCAGACUCCUACGGGAGGCAGCAGUGGGGAAUCUUCCGCAAUGGACGAAAGUCUGACGGAGCAACGCCGCGUGAGUGAUGACGGCCUUCGGGUUGUAAAGCUCUGUUAAUCGGGACGAAAGGCCUUCUUGCGAAUAGUUAGAAG